GAUGAAGAACGUAGCGAAAUGCGAUAAGUAGUGUGAAUUGCAGAAUUCAGUGAAUCAUCGAAUGUUUGAACGCACAUUGCGCCCCUCGGUAUUCCGUGGGGCAUGCCUGUUCGAGCGUCAUUUAACCCCUCAAGCCUAGCUUGGUAUUGGGUGCUUGUCCCGCCUCUCGCGCGGCGACUCACCUCAAAGUCAUUGGCAGCCCGCAUCUCGCCGGCCGUGAGCGCAGCACAGACGCGCUCUUGGCAACGACGGAUCGGCUCUCCAAAAGCUUAUUUCAACCACUGACCUCGGAUCAGGUAGGGAUACCCGCUGAACUUAAGCAUAUCAAUAAGCGGAGGA
rnacentral:misc_RNA from 1 species